rnacentral:rRNA from 1 species
AUUGAACGCUGGCGGCAGGCCUAACACAUGCAAGUCGAACGAGUGGCGGACGGGUGAGUAAUGUCUGGGAAACUGCCUGAUGGAGGGGGAUAACUACUGGAAACGGUAGCUAAUACCGCAUACCAUCAGAUGUGCCCUGGUGGGUGUAGCUUGUUGGUGGGGUAACGGCUCACCAGGGCGACGAUCCCUAGCUGGUCUGCGAGGAUGACCAGCCAAACUGGAACUGAGACACGGUCCAGACUCCUACGGGAGGCAGCAGUGGGGAAUCUUGCACAAUGGGCGAAAGCCUGAUGCAGCCAUGCCGCGUGGAUGAAGAAGGCCUUCGGGUUGUAAAGUACUUUCAGCGGGGAGGCGUUACCCGAAGAAGAAGCACCGGCUAACUCCGUGCCAGCAGCCGCGGUAAUAC